rnacentral:rRNA from 1 species
UACAGAGGUCCCAAGCGUUGUUUGGAUUCACUGGGCGUAAAGGGUGCGUAGGUGGUGGGGUAAGUCUGAUGUGAAAUCUUCGAGCUUAACUCGGAAAUGGCAUUGGAUACUACUCUGCUAGAGGUUUGGAGGGGGGACUGGAAUUCUCGGUGUAGCAGUGAAAUGCGUAGAUAUCGAGAGGAACACCAGUGGCGAAGGCGAGUCCCUGGACAACACCUGACACUGAGGCACGAAAGCUAGGGGAGCAAACAGG